UACGUAGGGGGCAAGCGUUGUCCGGAAUCAUUGGGCGUAAAGAGCGCGUAGGCGGCCCUGUAAGUCCGCUGUGAAAGUCAAGGGCUCAACCCUUGGAUGCCGGUGGAUACUGCAGGGCUAGAGUCCGGAAGAGGCGAGUGGAAUUCCUGGUGGUAGCGGUGAAAUGCGCAGAUAUCAGGAGGAACACCAAUAGCGAAGGCAGCUCGCUGGGACGGUAUUGACGCUAAGGCGCGAAAGCGUGGGGAGCAAACAGG
rnacentral:rRNA from 1 species